AACGCACAUUGCGCCCCUUGGUAUUCCAUGGGGCAUGCCUGUUCGAGCGUCAUUUGUACCUUCAAGCUUUGCUUGGUGUUGGGUGUUUGUCCUGAGGGACUCGCCUUAAAGUAAUUGGCAGCCAGUGUUUGGUUUUGAAGCGCAGCACAAGUCGCAAUUCAAAGCUAUACGCCCGCUUCCACAAGCCUUUUUCACUUUUGACCUCGGAUCAGGUAGGGAUACCCGCUGAACUUAA
rnacentral:misc_RNA from 1 species